UACGAAGGGGGCUAGCGUUGUUCGGAAUCACUGGGCGUAAAGCGCACGUAGGCGGACUUUCAAGUCAGGGGUGAAAUCCCGGAGCUCAACUUCGGAAUUGCCUUUGAUACUGGGGAUCUCGAGUCCGGAAGAGGUGAGUGGAACUGCGAGUGUAGAGGUGAAAUUCGUAGAUAUUCGCAAGAACACCAGUGGCGAAGGCGGCUCACUGGUCCGGUACUGACGCUGAGGUGCGAAAGCGUGGGAGCAAACAGG
rnacentral:rRNA from 1 species